rnacentral:rRNA from 1 species
CCUACGGGUGGCAGCAGUGGGGAAUAUUGCACAAUGGGUGAAACCCUGAUGCAGCGACGCCGCGUGAGUGAAGAAGUAAUUCGUUAUGUAAAGCUCUAUCAGCAGGGAAGAAAAUGACGGUACCUGAGUACGAAGCCCCGGCUAACUACGUGCCAGCAGCCGCGGUAAUACGUAGGGGGCAAGCGUUAUCCGGAUUUACUGGGGGUAAAGGGAGCGUAGACGGCAGUGCAAGUCUGGAGUGAAAGGCGGGGGGUCAACCCCCGGACUGCUCUGGAAACUGUCGGGCUGGAGUGCAGGAGAGGUAAGUGGAAUUCCUAGUGUAGCGGUGAAAUGCGUAGAUAUUAGGAGGAACACCAGUGGCGAAGGCGGCUUACUGGACUGUAACUGACGUUGAGGCACGAAAGCGUGGGGAGCGAACAGGAUUAGAUACCCUGGUAGUC